AGCUCCGGGGUGUUACACGUAAGAUUGCAAAUCUUAAGAAGCAGGUUAGCGCCUGCCGGGGCUU
rnacentral:tRNA from 1 species